rnacentral:rRNA from 1 species
UGGGGAAUAUUGGACAAUGGGCGAAAGCCUGAUCCAGCCAUGCCGCGUGAGUGAUGAAGGCCCUAGGGUUGUAAAGCUCUUUUGUGCGGGAAGAUAAUGACGGUACCGCAAGAAUAAGCCCCGGCUAACUUCGUGCCAGCAGCCGCGGUAAUACGAAGGGGGCUAGCGUUGCUCGGAAUCACUGGGCGUAAAGGGUGCGUAGGCGGGUCUUUAAGUCAGGGGUGAAAUCCUGGAGCUCAACUCCAGAACUGCCUUUGAUACUGAAGAUCUUGAGUUCGGGAGGGGUGAGUGGAACUGCGGGUGUAGAGGUGAAAUUCGUAGAUAUUCGCAAGAACACCAGUGGCGAAGGCGGCUCACUGGCCCGAUACUGACGCUGAGGCACGAAAGCGUGGGGAGCAAACAGG